GCGAAUAUAGAUAAAUUAAGGUAAAAUCAUUAGUUUUCCAAACUAACAUUUAGGAGUUCGAGUCUCCUUAUUCGCU
rnacentral:tRNA from 1 species